rnacentral:rRNA from 1 species
UACGGAGGGGGCGAGCGUUAUUCGGAAUUAUUGGGCGUAAAGGGCGCGUAGGCGGCUUGGUAAGUCAAAGGUGAAAUCCCUCGGCUCAACUGAGGAAUUGCCUUUGAAACUGCCUGGCUCGAGGCCGGGAGGGGGUAGCGGAAUUCCCAGUGUAGCGGUGAAAAUGCGCAGAUAUCAAGGAGGAACACCGGUGGCGAAGGCGGUUCUCUGGGGCAUGUCCUGACGUGAGGAGCGAAAGUGUGGG